rnacentral:rRNA from 1 species
AACGAACGCUGGCGGCAUGCCUAACACAUGCAAGUCGAACGAGACCUUCGGGUCUAGUGGCGCACGGGUGCGUAACGCGUGGGAACCUGCCCUUAGGUUCGGAAUAACUCCCCGAAAGGGGUGCUAAUACAGGAUAAUGUCUUCGGACCAAAGAUUUAUCGCCUUUGGAUGGGCCCGCGUUGGAUUAGCUAGUUGGUAGGGUAAAAGCCUACCAAGGCGACGAUCCAUAGCUGGUCUGAGAGGAUGACCAGCCACACUGGGACUGAGACACGGCCCAGACUCCGACGGGAGGCAGCAGUAGGGAAUAUUGGACGAUGAGCGAAAGCCUGAUCCAGCAAUGCCGCGUGAGUGAUGAAGGCCUUAGGGUUGUAAAGCUCUUUUACCCGGGAUGAUAAUGACAGUACCGGGAGAAUAAGCUCCGGCUAACUCCGUG